rnacentral:tRNA from 1 species
GGCUGUGGCUCAGUGGUAGAGUGCUUGCCUAGCACAUAUGAGGCACUGGGUUCGAUCCCCAGCACCA